rnacentral:misc_RNA from 1 species
AAAUCUCAACCUCCUCGGUUUCUUCUGGACACCGAAGGAGGCUUGGACUUUGGAGGCCUUUGCUGGCGUCUCUCGCCAGCUCCUCUCAAAUGAAUUAGCGGGGUCCUCUUUGCCGAUCCUCGACGUGUGAUAAGAUGUUUCCAUGUCUUGGUUUCUGGCUCUGUCGCCUUUGGGACCCGCUUCUAACCGUCUCAAGUCGAGACAACGUUUGAGCGUGUCUCCCUUCUCGGGAAACACCCUCGAGCCCACGAAC